rnacentral:rRNA from 1 species
UACAAAGGGGGCGAGCGUUGUUCGGAAUUACUGGGCGUAAAGGGCGCGUAGGCGGCCGAUCAAGUCAGAUGUGAAAGUCCUGGGCUUAACCUGGGGACUGCAUUUGAUACUGAUUGGCUUGAAUGCAGGAGAGGAUAGCGGAAUUCCCAGUGUAGAGGUGAAAUUCGUAGAUAUUGGGAAGAACACCGGUGGCGAAGGCGGCUAUCUGGACUGUGAUUGACGCUGAGGCGCGAAAGCGUGGGGAGCAAACAGG